UUAGCAUGGAGCAGACAUCUGCCAGAGGCGUGUGCUGGGGCUCUGGGAGCAGCUGGGUCCGGGCAGACUGGAGCAGAGUGAUCUGAGCUCCCUAGCCUCCUCCUGCUUGCCCGCCAGAGCGAUGUCACCGAAGUUGAAGAUGGUUUUGCCUUUGUCGGAGGUCACCACGAGAGACGGUGCCACGGCUGGACACCACAGCUCCAGAACUGGUUCGUAGCAGAGGAUGGACAGCCACUUUCUGGAAGACACCCCCUCCCCCACCAGCGCACUGCACCUGAA